CAGCAGCCGCGGUAAUACGAGGGGGGCUAGCGUUGUUCGGAAUUACUGGGCGUAAAGCGCACGUAGGCGGCUUGGUAAGUUAGAGGUGAAAGCCCGGGGCUCAACCCCGGAAUUGCCUUUGAGACUGGAUCGCUUGAACACGGGAGAGGUGAGUGGAAUUCCGAGUGUAGAGGUGAAAUUCGUAGAUAUUCGGAAGAACACCAGUGGCGAAGGCGGCUCACUGGACCGUUGUUGACGCUGAGGUGCGAAAGCGUGGGGAGCAAACAGGAUUAGAUACCCCAGUAGUCCCUGUCUCUUAUAC
rnacentral:rRNA from 1 species